rnacentral:rRNA from 1 species
AUUAUUCUAAUUAUUUUAAUUUAAUUUAUUUAUUAUUUUUACUUUAAUUGAAAUAACUUUUAUUUAUAGUAAUUUUUAUUGAAUUAUUUAAUUUUUAUUUAUAGUUUAUUUUUCUGUGAAGGUUGUAUGUUUAUACGAUUUUAUAAGUAGAAUUGUUUUUUUGUACCUUUUGUAUCAGGGUCUAUUGAUUUGUAUUAUUUAUUGAUAAUUUUCCCGAAAUUGUGAGGGAUAUUUAUAAUUUGUUAUUAAUUGUGUCAUAACUUUUGAUAAAAUAUAGAUAGGGGAGAUAUUUUAUUCAAUCACAAUAUAUCUGGUUUCUUAAUAGUUGAAUUUAAUUCAGAACUAUGUUAUAUAUUUAAAUUUAUUGUUAAAUUUAAUUUAAUUUGCAUAGUUUAAUAUUGUUGGGGAUAAGCUCGAUGAUUGUUUAUUACAGCUUUAAAUUAUAAAAUUUAUUAUAUUAAUUUUUGUAGGGUUAGUAAUUCUCAUCAUUUAUUUUGUUAUAAUUAUUAUUAGUAUAUGUUAUUUAUUUAUGAUUAGUUGGCUUAAUUUUUUAUUAAGAUUUUUUAAUUAAUUUUUUAUUAGAAGUAUUUAUGAUAGAAUUAGUAAUAUUUUUAAUUUAUUUAUAGUAAUUCGGCAAAUUUGAAUCUCACCUGUUUAUCAAAAACAUGUCCUGUUGAAUAAUUUAAUGUUUAAUAUCAGGUCAGGCCUGCUCAAUGAUUAAUUAUUAUAUUUAAAUAGCCGCAGUACUUUGACUGUGCAAAGGUAGCAUAAUCAUUUGUCUCUUAAUUGGAGGCUUGUAUGAAUGGUUUUAUGAAGUUUCAUCUUUCUUUAUAUAAAAAUUUUGAAUUUAACUUUUGAGUUAAAAGGCUUAAAUUUAUUUAUGGGACGAGAAGACCCUAUAGAAAUUUAUACAUUAUUGUUCGAUAUAUUAUUAGUCCUAUUAUUCAAAUAGUCGCAUAUCUAUUGUAUUUUGUUGGGGUGAUAUUGAGAUUUAUUUAACUCACAAUAUUUAUAUAUUAUUAAUUUGUAUAUUUUUGAUCCUUAAUUUUUAGGAUAAUAAGAUUAAUUUACCUUAGGGAUAACAGCGUAAUUUCUUUGGAGAGUUCAUAUCGAUGAAGGAGUUUGCGACCUCGAUGUUGGAUUAAAAUUAGUUUUAAGUGUAGCAGCUUAAUUUACUAGGUCUGUUCGACCUUUAAUUUUUUACAUGAUCUGAGUUCAGACCGGCGUGAGCCAGGUCGGUUUCUAUCUAUAAUUUUAAUACCAUAUUUUAGUACGAAAGGACCAAUUAUGGCAAUAAUUUUGUUUAUUUAUUGAAUAUUAUUAAAAAUU